rnacentral:rRNA from 1 species
AUUGAACGCUGGCGGCAGGCCUAACACAUGCAAGUCGAGCGGAUGAAGGGAGCUUGCUCCUGGAUUCAGCGGCGGACGGGUGAGUAAUGCCUAGGAAUCUGCCUGGUAGUGGGGGAUAACGUCCGGAAACGGGCGCUAAUACCGCAUACGUCCUGAGGGAGAAAGUGGGGGAUCUUCGGACCUCACGCUAUCAGGUGAGCCUAGGUCGGAUUAGCUAGUUGGUGGGGUAAAGGCCUACCAAGGCGACGAUCCGUAACUGGUCUGAGAGGAUGAUCAGUCACACUGGAACUGAGACACGGUCCAGACUCCUACGGGAGGCAGCAGUGGGGAAUAUUGGACAAAGGGCGAAAGCCUGAUCCAGCCAUGCCGCGUGUGUGAAGAAGGUCUUCGGAUUGUAAAGCACUUUAAGUUGGGAGGAAGGGCAGUAAGUUAAUACCUUGCUGUUUUGACGUUACCAACAGAAUAAGCACCGGCUAACUUCGUG